GUAACCCUCAACAGUAAGACUGGUAACCCUCAACAGUAAGACUGGUAACCCUCAACAGUAAGACUGGUAACCCUCAACAGUAAGACUGGUAACCGUAACCCUCAACAGUAAGACUGGUAACCCUCAACAGUAAGACUGGUAACCCUCAACAGUAAGACUGGUAACCCUCAACAGUAAGACUGGUAACCCUCAACAGUAAGACUGGUAACCGUAACCCUCAACAGUAAGACUGGUAACCCUAACCCUCAACAGUAAGACUGGUAACCGUAACCCUCAACAGUAAGACUGGUAACCCUAACCGUAACCCUCAACAGUAAGACUGGUAACCCUCAACAGUAAGAUUGGUAACCCUCAACAGUAAGACUGGUAACCCUCAACAGUAACACUGGUAACCCUAACCCUCAACAGUAACACUGGUAACCCUCAACAGUAACACUGGUAACCCUCAACAGUAACACUGGUAACACUCAACAGUAACACUGGUAACACU